GGUCUACAAGUGCCCUUUUUUUUCCUCAAUUAGUACACCGUUGAGGCCGAUUCUCAAGUGCGUUCGUGAAAAAAAGCGUCCCGUCUAGCAACACUGACUCGCGGCCUGCAUCGUGCUCGUGUUUAUUGUGAUUGCAUCAGCUAAUCGCUAUUGGCCAAUCAUGGCUAAUCUUCAUGCGCCGUGAACGUUAAGCGCAGCAAACAAUUGACGCAAGCCGACGCGCUAGAAAAAUCGCGCGGGAUCGCAGAUCGCAGUGGCUGCCAGCCUGUCAGUGCAUGAUGGUGUGAUAUACGGUUCAUAAAAAAACCGAGAUAAAAAUGUCUUAUCAACGAUAUUUAUAUCCGGGUUCCACUCAAAAUGUUCCACGAACAACGGCAUAUCGGAAACGAAAACGAGAACAGGCCAGUAAAAGUGAAAUAAUUGAAAUAAAUGCAGGAUCUGCAAACUUAUUGGAUGACUUGAAUUAUGAUAUCGAGGAUGGCGGAUUAUACGAUCAACAAUUAUCUUUUGACGAAGGUGCAAUCACAGCUGCGGAAUUAAAUGCCAAUCGUGAUCGAAUGUGUGUGUGUACUACACCUGAUUUGGACGAAUUGAAUUAUAAUAUCGAGAGUGAUGGAUUGUGCCGAAUGAAGAAUUAUAUGAUAACAAUAUCGAGGAUGAUAGAUUGU